AACACUUGGAAGUCCACAGGCAAGAAACAAACAAAAACAAAGAGAAAAAAAAUCCCAAAAGACUCUCCUUAUAGACAGGUGCAAAAAUCCUCUUUUGCAACCCAGAACUCAUUGUUUAGUAUGAGUUUUGGUACAGGGAAGAAGGAACAUG
ensembl:snoRNA